GCUCCGAGAUCACCACCAAGUCGGCUUCGCAAUCCCCCACUGUAAUCAUCAUAAGGUCGUGAGCUGUUCUACAAUGAUUUAGAUUGAUCUGCAAAGCCUACAGCGAGGCUCUUCCUUACAUUCACGAAGGCUGUGCCCUACGGCUCCGCAUCGCCUACAAAGGACGAAAUCAGGUGCAGGGAAGCGCUUACACGCCGCCGCAACAUGCCCGAGCGCAUGACAUUUAAAACAUCGCAAUAUCCGAGUGGCCUGGUGCUCCACCUCCUGUGCGCCACAGUCAUCGGAUGACGACCCGGGAAGGCCUGCUGGCUCACCUCCUUUCGGGCCGGUACUGAGGGUUCCGACUCCCCCUGCACCGAAUCGCCAAGUUGUCGUAGAUAAAUUCCCGUCCAAAACGUCGCGACAGUCGCCGGAGAAACCAUCCCGGAGAAAAAAACAGUGUCGUGUUUG